GGGUGACGAGUGGCGGACGGGUGAGUAAUGUCUGGGAAACUGCCCGAUGGAGGGGGAUAACUACUGGAAACGGUAGCUAAUACCGCAUAACGUCGCAAGACCAAAGAGGGGGACCUUCGGGCCUCUUGCCAUCGGAUGUGCCCAGAUGGGAUUAGCUAGUAGGUGGGGUAACGGCUCACCUAGGCGACGAUCCCUAGCUGGUCUGAGAGGAUGACCAGCCACACUGGAACUGAGACACGGUCCAGACUCCUACGGGAGGCAGCAGUGGGGAAUAUUGCACAAUGGGCGCAAGCCUGAUGCAGCCAUGCCGCGUGUAUGAAGAAGGCCUUCGGGUUGUAAAGUACUUUCAGCGAGGAGGAAGGCGUUGUGGUUAAUAACCGCAACGAUUGACGUUACUCGCAGAAGAAGCACCGGCUAACUCCGUGCCAGCAGCCGCGGUAAUACGGAGGGUGCAAGCGUUAAUCGGAAUUACUGGGCGUAAAGCGCACGCAGGCGGUCUGUCAAGUCGGAUGUGAAAUCCCCGGGCUCAACCUGGGAACUGCAUCCGAAACUGGCAGGCUAGAGUCUUGUAGAGGGGGGUAGAAUUCCAGGUGUAGCGGUGAAAUGCGUA
rnacentral:rRNA from 1 species